GACACAACAACUACCCGCUUAAUAUGGACGCUUUGACUUUCCUGGCCUAUGACGGUAGAUCGUGGACAAAACUUCCGAUUCGUCGUUUCGUUAUGGCGUUUCAUCGUUUCCGCACACCGAUACUUCUUGUCGACCCGUUGUUUUCCGAAUUCGACUCGUCGAAUUUCUCUUUACCCUCUCUUUCUCUCUUGUUUUGUAGAACCGAAGAGUACUCUAUCAGUAACAAAGAUAUGAGUCGUAAUCAAGCCGUGAUCAGUGCAUUCAAAAGCGAUGCAGUAUGGAUCCAGCAAUUAAAGGACCCUUCCCUCCCCCGAUACUUGUUUGGAUUGUAUAAGGCUUACAUGAAAAGAAACACGCGAGGAGCGGCGAAAAAUGAUACCAGUUUUGGUAAUUUGUAUUGCCUGUCUAUUGAGAUAUUCAUUCAUUCAUUCAAUUCAGUAGCAAUCUUUGGGGUGCUGAUGCUCGCCAAGUGCGGACGCUUUUUCUGAUCAUUAUCAAGCCAUUGAUGACCAGGAAGCUCUACAGAAUUUUAUUUUGGCUGAAAAAAUCUGCUGGCUAAUACUCUACUUGUCUUAUUUGGAGCCCCACAGUCUGCCAAAAUGACGGCACUAAAAGCUACUCUUUCAGUUGUUGGCAAAACAGAUAUUGUACAAGGAAUGACUUUCAAGGCAAUAAUGGAUGCUGUCUGCAAGACACCCAUUCCAUUUGGCUGAGAUUAUUGCAAAUUUUACAGACUGUCCAGUGGAGAUUGCAGAUGAUCAAGAGCUAGUUGAAGAUCAGAGGGCCUUGGUGUCCUACUCCCUCCUGGUUUUUGCAUUCAAAAUGAUUCUUGAGAAGGUCGGGUUGCCAAAGCUCUUCAUCCUUCUAGAGGAAAAAAUUUAAAAAGUUGUACUGCCAAGUUAUGUGGGAGCAUCCCAUGUCACUGCAACAUCUGUUCAGUUGCCAAAGGACGUUUGCAGUGACACCAACAAAGCAUUGACGAAUUCCUUUGCAUCAAUUACUGCUUUCAAUGUUCAAAAUGUGGUUCCCUUUGUCAAUAAUAGAAUAAAGCCCUCUCAAUGAAGCUGUGGGGAAGCUGUAGCUUUUAAUGUGCCUUGCUUAGCUCGGCACAUUAAGGUUACUGGUAUCGACCCAGUGAUAACCAAUGCCACUAUACGGCAUUUCAUUACCUCUAACGUUAUCAGUUGUGUGGCGAAGUCAAAUAAGGUUUGGAGCUGAACAACAAGCUUGACAUCUGCCUACACAAUUUUUUCAUCACUGACUACCAGUACCACAUCUAGUACGUAAUAAUGAAUUGAAUUAAUUCAUUUAAGUACAAGUGCUUUACCAUGAAAACAAUCAGAAUGGUUGUUUUCAUGGUAAAGACAUCCUGCUCCAAAGGCC